UACAGAGGUCUCAAGCGUUGUUCGGAAUCACUGGGCGUAAAGCGCACGUAGGCGGACUCUUAAGUCGGUGGUGAAAUCCUGGAGCUCAACUCCAGAACUGCCUUCGAUACUGAGAGUCUCGAGUCCGGGAGAGGUGAGUGGAACUGCGAGUGUAGAGGUGAAAUUCGUAGAUAUUCGCAAGAACACCAGUGGCGAAGGCGGCUCACUGGCCCGGUACUGACGCUGAGGUGCGAAAGCGUGGGGAGCAAACAGG
rnacentral:rRNA from 1 species